AUUUGCAUGCUAUUUGGCUGUUUGUCAUUUUUAGCACAUCUCAUGGUGACCUCACACCCUCCCCGUUUAUUUGUCAGUCUGACAUAUUGAUGUUUUUCAUUAUCUUUCUCCCCAUAAACACAUUUAAUGGUCUUUUGCUGGGAUUUAAGCCAAAAAUUCGGAUUGUCUGUAAUUUAAACUCUGAUUCAAAAAAAAAAAAAAA